UGAUAACAAACUCUUCGCUCACGCGAAGUUUUAAACCCUCUGUGAACCAAAAAACCUUUCUAGCUUCGGUAGCAGUGCUUGUGAGCCUUGUGUUCACUGCACAUCAGUCUACCGGUGGCACCAAUACCAAACUCUUGUUUAAACAAAAUUAGUCUGAAUCAAAAUUUUCGAAUGAAAAUCA
rnacentral:misc_RNA from 1 species